UACAGAGGUCUCAAGCGUUGUUCGGAUUCAUUGGGCGUAAAGGGUGCGUAGGCGGCGCGGUAAGUCGGGUGUGAAAUCUCGGAGCUUAACUCCAGAACUGCCUUUGAUACUGGCGAUCUCGAGUCCGGGAGAGGUGAGUGGAACUGCGAGUGUAGAGGUGAAAUUCGUAGAUAUUCGCAAGAACACCAGUGGCGAAGGCGGCUCACUGGCCCGGUACUGACGCUGAGGUGCGAAAGCGUGGGGAGCAAACAGG
rnacentral:rRNA from 1 species